rnacentral:lncRNA from 1 species
AAACAUCCUCAAUUCAUACAUUGAUUUUGUUCUUUUUUGUUAGUAGAACUUAGAAGGCAUUACCAAAUUGAGACUAGGUGAUGGUGCUGGUGUCGUGUCAUCUGUAGUUGGCACUGCAGGUGGUGCUGGGGGGCUUGGAACUGUUGGUGCUGGUGCUGGUGCAUGGUGGUGUCUCCUGUGCCUGUGCCUGUGCCUUCUCUUGUGCUUGGUGGGAGCUGGUGCAGGAGCCGGUGGCAAAGUAAUGGGUGCAGGUGCUGGGGGCAGCUUUACUGGUGCAGGAGCUGGUGGUUUCUGAGCUGGUGCUGGUGCAGGAGAUACUGGUGGUGGUGAUGGUGGUGGCAAUGCUGGCGGUUGAGCUGGAGCUGUGGUUGGAGGAGUUUGAGGUGGUUGAGGUGGUGGAGUUUGUGGCGGUGGGACGGUUUGGCUUGUAGCUGGUGCAACAGUGGGAGGGGGAGUUGUUGCAGGUGGUUGAGCUGGCGCGAUGGGCGUGGUGGAAGGUGGAGGCGUUGCUGUUGAAGGAGGUGGUGCUGAAGUUGUAGGUGGAGGGGUUGUUGAAGGAGGUGGUGCGGAAGUUGUAGGUGGUGGCGAAGUUGAAGGUGGAGUGGUGGUGGUGGUGGUUGGCGUACUGGAAGGUGAGGCAGCUGGUGUUUGUGCACUCGUAAUGGCUAGUUGAAGGGUGAGAGUAGUUACAAUGAGAGCCCAAAACAUGAAAGCCAUUUUGUUAGAGAUGGGGAAUAGCAUUUGCAAGCAACAAUAUAUAAACACUAAACAACCAGCAAUUCUCAAA